GAAUUAAUCCCUUGAUUAUAGGAAUUUACAUCAAUCUAAUUUAUACAUUCCUAUUCUAACAAUGUGCCAUACGUAUUUUUGUCUGAAGAGAUCUGAUGUGUUGCCAUAUAUCCUUUUUCAAGAGAACUUGCAUCUCACAUCAUUAGACAGGACUGCUAGUUGAUAGAUUAGCAAUUUGAACAUGAUCUUUGAAUGCCAAAGUUCUAUUCCCUCUUUAGAUGUUGAAGUAUAGACAUGGAACUUGGUAUGUGUUAUUUCUUAUAAAUUGUGGAUUGAUCUUCAC
rnacentral:misc_RNA from 1 species